rnacentral:rRNA from 1 species
UACGGAGGGUGCAAACGUUGCUCGGAAUCAUUGGGCGUAAAGCGCACGUAGGCGGCCGAUCAAGUCGGGGGUGAAAGCCUGUGGCUCAACCACAGAAUUGCCUUCGAUACUGUUUGGCUUGAGACCGGAAGAGGUUAGUGGAACUGCGAGUGUAGCGGUGAAAUGCGCAGAUAUCAGGAGGAACACCGGUGGCGAAGGCGGGUCUCUGGGCCGUAACUGACGCUGAGGAGCGAAAGCGUGGGGAGCGAACAGG